rnacentral:rRNA from 1 species
AUACGAAGGGUGCAAGCGUUAAUCGGAAUUACUGGGCGUAAAGCGCGCGUAGGUGGUUUUGUAAGUUGGAGGUGAAAGCCCCGGGCUCAACCUGGGAAUUGCCUCCAAAACUGCAUGACUAGAGUACGGUAGAGGGUAGUGGAAUUUCCUGUGUAGCGGUGAAAUGCGUAGAUAUAGGAAGGAACACCAGUGGCGAAGGCGACUACCUGGACUGAUACUGACACUGAGGGGCGAAAGCGUGGGGAGCAAACAGGAUUAGAUACCCUGGUAGUCCACGCCGUAAACGAUGUCAACUAGCCGUUGGGAUCCUUGAGAUCUUAGUGGCGCAGCUAACGCAUUAAGUUGACCGCCUGGGGAGUACGGCCGCAAGGUUAAAACUCAAAUGAAUUGACGGGG